rnacentral:misc_RNA from 1 species
AGACCUAGCUGCUAUUGAAGUUCCAUCUACAAAUGGAUAAUAUUUUUGUUUUUGUCUAGACAGUUUUUGAAAAUAACGGAUCCCGACCCCUAAGGGGGGGCAGGGAUCCGUUAUGUUAUUGAGUCGGUUUUUUUAGUAGUUUUUUUUUAGUAUUUUUAUACUUUUCUUUCUUUUCGUUGAUUUAGUAUGAUAUAUUUGGUAUGGACUAAUAUUACUAAGAAAUUUCUAAUAGAUAAAAAUUAUCUAAUAUUAUCUAAUAUUUUCAGUUAAUUUAAUAAAAAAUAAAAUUGUAGUUUUUUCUCUUACAAUCUUUAUUUUUAUUUUAAUAAGUAAGAUAAGGUAAAAAAAAAAUAAAAAAAAUAAUCAACGAUUCGAUUUUUUGUAAAUAGCCGAGGGGCGGAUGUAGCCAAGU